AGUGAACGUUGGCGGCGUGGAUUAGGCAUGCGAGUCGAGCGAGAGCCGUAGCAAUACGGGGACAGCGGCGAAAGGGACAGUAAUAUGUAGGUACCUACCCUCGGGUCCGGGAUAGCUGCGGGAAACUGCAGGUAAUACCGGAUGACAUCUCCGGAUCAAAGGUGUGAUUCCGCCCGGGGAGGGGCCUGCGUCCUAUUAGCUUGUUGGUGGGGUAACGGCCUACCAAGGCGACGAUGGGUAGCGGGUGUGAGAGCAUGACCCGCGUCAUUGGGACUGAGACACUGCCCAGACACCUACGGGUGGCUGCAGUCGAGAAUCUUCGGCAAUGGGGGCAACCCUGACCGAGCGACGCCGCGUGCGGGAUGAAGGCCUUCGGGUUGUAAACCGCUGUCGUAGAGGAGGAAAUGCAGGGGGGUUCUCCCCUCUGUUUGACCUAUUCUAGGAGGAAGGACGGGCUAAGUUCGUGCCAGCCGCCGCGGUAA
rnacentral:rRNA from 1 species